AGGCGUGAUUUCUUUUUUAUUUUAAUUUUAUUUCAUUCAUUUCUUCUCGAGGAGCUUCGUUUUAAUAAAAGAAAAACAAUUUUCCCAUCAAUAACUACAUCAAGAAAUCCAUUUUUAUCCUCGUCACAAAUGUCACAGCCAAGAAUAUUUACUGGUCUUGGACAAAUCAUGAAUAAACUUUUAGAACUUAAAAUAAGUCGCCAUUUCGACAAAAAUUUCUGGCGUUAUCUGGAGAUGAACCCUACCAUGGUUUCUUAUCCGAGGAGCAGCCAAGACCAUCAACUGCUCAAAAUUGAGGAAGGAGUUGACGAACGUAUUAAAAAUCUCGAAUUACUUACAAAUUCUGGUAAAAUGAAAACGCUGGUCAAAAUGGAAACAUUCAUGAAGCGACUCGACGCAAGAAGAAUUAUGGCUGGUUGUUUUGACUAUUAAAAAUUUUAAAACAAAUUUCACAUGUACCAAAUAUUUGACUUUUUUCUCGCGUAAUAUAAUCAUGUCGUCUGCUCUCGUUUUUAAAAAGGCGACGCACACAUCUUUAAAUAAAUUUGCUAGUCAGUCUCAAACUUA